rnacentral:rRNA from 1 species
GACGAACGCUGGCGGCGUGCUUAACACAUGCAAGUCGAACGGUGAACCCGCUUCGGUGGGGGAUCAGUGGCGAACGGGUGAGUAACACGUGGGCAACCUGCCCCCGGCUCUGGGAUAACCCCAAGAAAUUGGGGCUAAUACCGGAUGUGACCGCUGACCGCAUGGUCUGGUGGUGGAAAGAUUUAUCGGCUGGGGAUGGGCCCGCGGCCUAUCAGCUUGUUGGUGGGGUAGUGGCCUACCAAGGCUACGACGGGUAGCCGGCCUGAGAGGGUGACCGGCCACACUGGGACUGAGACACGGCCCAGACUCCUACGGGAGGCAGCAGUGGGGAAUAUUGCGCAAUGGGCGGAAGCCUGACGCAGCGACGCCGCGUGGGGGAUGACGGCCUUCGGGUUGUAAACCUCUUUCAGCAGGGACGAAGCCGUGAGGUGACGGUACCUGCAGAAGAAGCACCGGCCAACUACGUGCCAGCAGCCGCCGUAACAC